ACUGUGUUACACAGGGCAGUAGUAGGCAGGUUAACAUUAGACACCUCUGUGAGAGGCUGAAGGUCAGCGCCAGACUCAGUAACCACAGAAAGUCUCGGCUCUCAGAAGCCUGCCUGGAUCUGAUUAGCGAGGGCUCCAGAAGUGCAGCCCCCAACAACGGGUGUGGCGCUAUGGCACAAGCUGCCAGCGCCAGCUUCUCACCAGACUUGAAACCAGAACUUAUUUGAAGUUUCCAAGUCUAUGUCAAAAAAAGGAUUCUGAACGCCUCAGAAUUUUGACUCUUUACAGUCAUUUUGGAGCUUAACCUUCACCCAGAUCCCUCUAUGACAUUCUUCACAACAGCAUUUUUAAGAAGAGAAAUCAAAAUAGGGCAAGAAAAUUUGGAAUAUGUUUCAGAAAGGGGAGCAAAGCAAAAAAGUGAAGGAGCUAUAGAUUUCUCUCUUUCUUCAUGACUCCAAAAUUCCAGAAUGUUAUCACCAGAGCACUGGACAUUUCCCACCUUCUGUGUCUGUAGAUUAUGGUCUCAGGCCACUGACUGUUAAAUGUAGCCAAGUCUUUUUGUUCAGAAAGAUGGUCCUCUGAAGCGAUGAGGAUCAACAUCUAGAAGGCACACAUGAAGUUGACUGAGGCCAGGAGAUGUGAAGCAUUUCAAUCAAAGCUAUCAUUCCACAAGAGUAAAAAUUUAUUCCAUUUAUUAGCAAUGAACAUGUGGCUUAUCACUUGACUCAUUAGCACACUUCUGUGAAUACAGCAAGCUUGUA